GCGCACAGGCGAGAAACCUCCGCAAUGCGGGAAACCGCGACGGGGGACCCCGAGUGCCGUGGCAACGCCACGGCUUUUCCGGAGUGUAAAAGCUCCGGGAAUAAGGGCUGGGCAAGGCCGGUGGCAGCCGCCGCGGUAAUACCGGCGGCCCGAGUGGUGGCCGCUAUUAUUGGGCCUAAAGCGUCCGUAGCCGGGCCCGUAAGUCCCUAGCGAAAUCCCACGGCUCAACCGUGGGGCUUGCUGGGGAUACUGCGGGUCUUGGGACCGGGAGAGGCGGGGGGUACCCCUGGGGUAGGGGUGAAAUCCUAUAAUCCCAGGGGGACCGCCAGUGGCGAAGGCGCCCCGCUGGAACGGGUCCGACGGUGAGGGACGAAGGCCAGGGGAGCAAACCGGAUUAGAUACCCGCGUAGU
rnacentral:rRNA from 1 species